rnacentral:rRNA from 1 species
UACGUAGGGGGCAAGCGUUGUCCGGAAUCAUUGGGCGUAAAGAGCUCGUAGGUGGUUCGGUAAGUCGGAUGUGAAAUCUCCAGGCUCAACCUGGAGGGGUCAUUCGAUACUGCCGUGACUAGAGUUCGGUAGAGGAGUGUGGAAUUCCUGGUGGAGCGGUGAAAUGCGCAGAGAUCAGGAGGAACACCCGUAGCGAAGGCGGCACUCUGGGCCGAUACUGACACUGAGGAGCGAAAGCGUGGGGAGCGAACAGG